GACGAACGCUGGCGGCGUGCCUAAUACAUGCAAGUAGAACGAGUUUCGAACGGGUGAGUAACGCGUAGGUACCUGCCUCAUAGCGGGGGAUAAAUAUUUGAAACGAUAGCUAAUACCCCACACUGUUAGAUGUACCUGCGUUGUAUUAGCUAGUUGGGGGGGUAAAGGCCCAACAAGGCGACGAUACAUAGCCGGCCUGGGAGGGUGAACGGCCAAAUUGGGACUGAGACACGGCCCAGACUCCUACGGGAGGCAGCAGUAGGGAAUCUUCGGAAAUGGACGGAAGUCUGACGGAGCAACGCCGCGUGAGUGAAGAAGGUUUUCGGGUUGUAAAGCUCUGUUGUUAGAGAAGCGGUACCUAAAGAGAAAGGGACGGCUAACUACGUGCCAGCCGCCGCGGUAAUAC
rnacentral:rRNA from 1 species